rnacentral:rRNA from 1 species
CCUACGGGAGGCAGCAGUGAGGAAUAGUGGUCAAUGGACGGAAGUCUGAACCAGCCAGGCCGCGGGCAGGAUGACGGCGCUAUGAGUUGUAAACUGCUUUUAUAUGGGAAGAAAACAGGGUAUGCAUACCCUCUUGUAUGUACCAUAUGAAUAAGGAUCGGCUAACUCCGUGCCAGCAGCCGCGGUAAUACGGAGGAUCCGAGCGUUAUCCGGAUUUAUUGGGUUUAAAGGGAGCGUAGGUGGCUUGUUAAGUCAGUUGUGUACGUUUGCGGCUCAACCGUAAAAUUGCAGUUGAAACUGGCAGUCUUGCGUACCGUAGAGGUGGGCUGCAUUCGUGGUGUAGCGG